rnacentral:rRNA from 1 species
UACGUAGGGUGCAAGCGUUAUCCGGAAUUAUUGGGCGUAAAGAGCUCGUAGGCGGUUUGUCGCGUCUGCUGUGAAAACCCGAGGCUCAACCUCGGGCCUGCAGUGGGUACGGGCAGACUAGAGUGCGGUAGGGGAGAUUGGAAUUCCUGGUGUAGCGGUGGAAUGCGCAGAUAUCAGGAGGAACACCGAUGGCGAAGGCAGAUCUCUGGGCCGUAACUGACGCUGAGGUACGAAAGCGUGGGGAGCAAACGGG